rnacentral:rRNA from 1 species
CCUACGGGAGGCAGCAGUGGGGAAUUUUGGACAAUGGGCGAAAGCCUGAUCCAGCAAUGCCGCGUGAGUGAAGAAGGCCUUCGGGUUGUAAAGCUCUUUUGUCAGGGAAGAAACGGUGAGAGCUAAUAUCUUUUGCUAAUGACGGUACCUGAAGAAUAAGCACCGGCUAACUACGUGCCAGCAGCCGCGGUAAUACGUAGGGUGCAAGCGUUAAUCGGAAUUACUGGGCGUAAAGCGUGCGCAGGCGGUUUUGUAAGUCUGAUGUGAAAUCCCCGGGCCCAACCUGGGAAUUGCAUUGGAGACUGCAAGGCUAGAAUCUGGCAGAGGGGGGUAGAAUUCCACGUGUAGCAGUGAAAUGCGUAGAUAUGUGGAGGAACACCGAUGGCGAAGGCAGCCCCCUGGGUCAAGAUUGACGCUCAUGCACGAAAGCGUGGGGAGCAAACAGGAUUAGAUACCCUGGUAGUCCACGCCCUAAACCGAUGUCUACUAGUUGUCGGGUCUUAAUUGACUUGGUAACGCAGCUAACGCGUGAAGUAGACCGCCUGGGGAGUACGGUCGCAAGNUUAAAACGUCAAAUGAAUUGACCGGNUGAGAGNGCGACGGACGACGACGAGGGAGGAGG